CUGUCAACUCACUUCACUUUUCCACAUCUUUUUAGAUCCUAGGCUUGAGGAAUAGGAGGCAAGUGGAAAGGGUCAGCUUCAGCAGCCUUGUGCCUGAGUCUAAGUUGCAACUGGGACCUUGCUGGCUGUUUCCAGACCAAUUGAGCCCAGAUGUGUAGGGAUUCCUGGCAGCAACUCUGUCAGAUACUGCCCAACCAGCUGAGUGUCUCCAGCAUUUUCCAUUUUUAUUUUCCAUUAACCAUGUCAUUUGAAUCAGUCAUGAUAUGACAGUAGUGGGACUCAAAGCCCAGUGUACUCACCUGUAGAAUGUUCAGAGGAGGUGACUUACUCGAGAAACAUCACCCGCUAAAGAAAUGCCCAGGACGGGGAUUUAAAGCGAGAUAAGAAAAAAUCAACAACUUAGAAGAAAGUUGAAGCCAAUGCUGGAAACAUGUGUCUGCAGGAUGGUUAAGCACCUGAUUACAACAUAAAUUGCCUCCCAGCUCUCACUAAUGAGCCCUUAUGCACAGAUACAGAAAUGAUACCAUGCUGGCCUGGCACAGAGCAAACAACUGGGCACCAAACUAAGGGCAAGCUGAAGUGGAGCAAGCGGCAGGAAGCAAUCACCAGAAGAAGCUGAGCCCAUCUUAUAGGCUCUCCCCUACAGUGAAAACACGUUGAAUUCCUGCUUCUAAUUUUGAAUUCUGAGUUUUUUGCUCCUUACACAGUGUGAAAUAAGAGCGUCAUCUUACUAGUAUGUUUUCUUCCUUGGAAGAAUUUGUCUUUUAUAGAUGUAAAACACACUGGAUUGACUGCCAAUGCUAUUGAAAUACCAGUUGGCAAACAUCAUGUUAUACAUAGGAUUAGAAUUUUUAUUCAGCAUCUGUGCUUCAUUGGUUUAUGAUUCUUUGUACCCAAUCUUUGCU